UUACGAGCUAAAUUCUGAAUGCAAAUCCAGUAAAUAGCGCGACUGUCCAAUUUUGGAACCAAAUUUGUAGCUUUUGGUACAGAAAGCGACAUCAGCAGUUGGCUCACUCUCAUCUCAAAUCCAACGCCAAGAGAGUUGUUUCUAGCUUAUGUAAGCAAAGCUGAAAAAUGUCCUUUGGUUGACACUAAACGGCUUGAGAACGCUUCAAAUUCUAAAUGCUACUAAUAACUAUAUAACGAAUAUCUAAAUCGGGAGUCGCCUGCGAGCGCGAUAUACUGGAAGAGGUUCCUAACAGCCACUUUGAGAGUAAUUUAAACCUGUUGGUCAUAAAACCUAUUAGCCUACUCGGAGACGGUCUAAAACAGUAGAAUUCGUUGAACCAUGCACUGAACACACAAGUGACACACGAAUAUUUGUGCACUAAAAUAUAAUCAUUUAAAUACAUUUUAAUAAACAAAUUUAUAUUUAACGUUUGAGAAAGUAGAAAAUACAUACAUAUGUAGCUUAAAUUAAAAAUGGUAGCGCAACAGUAGCGACCCGCCCUACCCAUUGUACAUACAGUGGUUUCCACAUAAUUAGGGACACUACUUCUUUACAUAUUUUGAUCAGUUUUUUUUUCUUUAUUAAUUUUUUAAGUACAUAGUUGAUACGACAACAAUGCAACUCAAAUUUUCAAACUGUUUUAUCAGAAUUUCUAGAAAAAAAUCGGGUAUGGAGCUUAGUAGUUUAUUCAUUUUUUUCAAUAUUGCGCAAUUUUCGAGCGGCAUAGAAUUCGCAUUAAUUUUUGGUAAUUCUUUUGUUGACGACGUUGCGCAUUUUUUUUUCCAUAGAUACAAAGUAUAUUCCAAAAUUUUUUAUAUGAGAUAAAAUGAGUGACAUCGUCAACAAAACUGUGUACUCGAUUUUUUUCUAGAAAUCCACAUGAUUUUCGUUGUAAUUAGUAUAAAUUAUUUUUGGUACAAAAAAAUAAAUAAAUUAUAAACAAGUAAAAAAAAAAUUAAGGGCCAAAACUGUAAAAGGGACACUCCCUAAUUAUGUGGCCAAUAGUGUACAUAUUUUUUAUUCGAACUACAUUUCAAAAGAGACACAUUUCGGUUUAUCAGCAAUUAAUUCCCCUUCAUUUGCUGUUAUCAAAAGUUAAACAACAUCGCUUAAUGAAAAGUACACAACCUGCUGAGCUGCUUUGACAACUUCAGCACGCCGCACACAAAUUCAUACAUAAGCGGAGCACCACAUCAACAAUUGUCGCACAGCCCAACAACGACUCCACCUCGGCUGGAGUGUUUACGAGCACGAUGGUUGUGCCGGUUGACACAG
rnacentral:misc_RNA from 1 species